rnacentral:rRNA from 1 species
UGGGGAAUAUUGCACAAUGGGCGCAAGCCUGAUGCAGCCAUGCCGCGUGUAUGAAGAAGGCCUUCGGGUUGUAAAGUACUUUCAGCGGGGAGGAAGGCGAUAAGGUUAAUAACCGCAACGAUUGACGUUACUCGCAGAAGAAGCACCGGCUAACUCCGUGCCAGCAGCCGCGGUAAUACGGAGGGUGCAAGCGUUAAUCGGAAUUACUGGGCGUAAAGCGCACGCAGGCGGUCUGUCAAGUCGGAUGUGAAAUCCCCGGGCUCAACCUGGGAACUGCAUCCGAAACUGGCAGGCUAGAGUCUUGUAGAGGGGGGUAGAAUUCCAGGUGUAGCGGUGAAAUGCGUAGAGAUCUGGAGGAAUACCGGUGGCGAAGGCGGCCCCCUGGACAAAGACUGACGCUCAGGUGCGAAAGCGUGGGGAGCAAACA